rnacentral:rRNA from 1 species
GAUGAACGCUGGCGGCGUGCUUAACACAUGCAAGUCGAACGGGAUCCAUCAAGCUUGCUUGGUGGUGAGAGUGGCGAACGGGUGAGUAAUGCGUGACCGACCUGCCCCAUACACCGGAAUAGCUCCUGGAAACGGGUGGUAAUGCCGGAUGCUCCAGUUGAUCGCAUGGUCUUCUGGGAAAGCUUUCGCGGUAUGGGAUGGGGUCGCGUCCUAUCAGCUUGACGGCGGGGUAACGGCCCACCAUGGCUUCGACGGGUAGCCGGCCUGAGAGGGCGACCGGCCACAUUGGGACUGAGAUACGGCCCAGACUCCUACGGGAGGCAGCAGUGGGGAAUAUUGCACAAUGGGCGCAAGCCUGAUGCAGCGACGCCGCGUGCGGGAUGACGGCCUUCGGGUUGUAAACCGCUUUUGACUGGGAGCAAGCCCUUCGGGGUGAGUGUACCUUUCGAAUAAGCACCGGCUAACU